rnacentral:rRNA from 1 species
AUGGGCCCGCGGUGCAUUAGUUAGUUAGUGGGGUAAUGGCCUACCAAGACCAUGAUGCAUAGCCGACCUGAGAGGGUGAUCGGCCACACUGGGACUGAGACACGGCCCAGACUCCUACGGGAGGCAGCAGUAGGGAAUCUUCGGCAAUGGACGAAAGUCUGACCGAGCAACGCCGCGUGAGUGAAGAAGGUUUUCGGAUCGUAAAACUCUGUUGUAGAGAAGAAUAAGUGAUAGAGUAACUGUUAUCACCUGACG